rnacentral:rRNA from 1 species
UACGUAGGGUGCUAGCGUUGUUCGGAAUUACUGGGCGUAAAGCGUGCGCAGGCGGCUUCUCAAGUCAGGGGUGAAAGCCCAGAGCUUAACUCUGGAAUUGCCUUUGAGACUGAGAGGCUUGAGUACGGGAGAGGUGAGUGGAAUUCCCAGUGUAGAGGUGAAAUUCGUAGAUAUUGGGAAGAACACCGGUGGCGAAGGCGGCUCACUGGCCCGUAACUGACGCUCAUGCACGACAGCGUGGGGAUCAAACAGG